rnacentral:rRNA from 1 species
CCUACGGGAGGCAGCAGUGAGGAAUAUUGGUCAAUGGGAGAGGUCCUGAACCAGCCAAGCCGCGUGAGGGAAGACGGCCCUAUGGGUUGUAAACCUCCUUUGUCGGAGAACAAAACCCGGGACGUGUCCCGGACUGCGUGUAUCCGAAGAAAAAGCAUCGGCUAACUCCGUGCCAGCAGCCGCGGUAAUACGGAGGAUGCGAGCGUUAUCCGGAUUUACUGGGUGUAAAGGGAGCGUAGACGGCAUAGCAAGUCUGAUGUGAAAGAUCGGGGCUCAACCCCGGGCCUGCAUUGGAAACUGUUAAG